ACACCCCGCGGCCGGCCCUAGAAAGGGCGUAGCUGAGAAAGCUGAGAACGUACUAGACACUAGCUCAACAGGUUUUCGAGCAGUACGCAGCACACAACUCCGCAAGAGAGGGUCGCUGAAAUCCACGUUUAAACAGAACUAACGAUGAAAGAACCCGGGCAACUUCCUGGCUCAGAAGUAGGUGACUACGGGGACCUUACAAAAGUUGACGCUACCGGUGCAUCAGAACAGACAGCCAAGCAGGACAAGUUGACAAUCAAAGGACCAGCUGCAUCACAGAAGAUGGCAAAGACAGACAAGAAGAAUGUUGAUAAGUACAAGGAUAUCAUCAAGAAAGUGGCAAAAGAAAAGAACAUUGACCCAGCCAUCAUAGCAGCUAUAAUCAGCCGGGAGACCCGCGGAGGCACUCUACUGGAUAACAAUGGGUGGGGAGAUAACGGGAAUGGGUUUGGACUUAUGCAGGUUGACAAAAAAUUCCCACACACCGCAAGGAGGCUCUACAAGUAUUGAACAUAUCCGCCAGGGCACAGACAUCCUCGUCGAAAACAUUAAGACCAUAGAAAACAAAUUCCCCAAAUGGACAAAAGAAUAGCAGCUGAAAGGAGGUAUUUCAGCGUACAAUGCAGGACCUGGCAAUGUGCAAACCUAUGAGAACAUGGACGUGGGCACAACAGGAAACGACUAUGCUAAUGAUGUAGUGGAAAGAGCGAAAUGGUACAGGCAAAAUGGAUAUUAGAUGCAGCGUCGUCAAGUAAAAUGUAAUCAACUUAAACUUGUUUCUUUUGAAGGGCUCAGAUUUAUAUACACAGAUCUAUGCUUGAAAUAAAA